UACGUAGGGUCCGAGCGUUGUCCGGAAUUAUUGGGCGUAAAGGGCUCGUAGGCGGUUCGUCACGUCGGGAGUGAAAACUCGGAGCUUAACUCCGAGCCUGCUUCCGAUACGGGCAGACUAGAGGUAGGCAGGGGAGAGCGGAACUCCUGGUGUAGCGGUGGAAUGCGCAGAUAUCAGGAGGAACACCGGUGGCGAAGGCGGUUCUCUGGGCAUUACCUGACGCUGAGGAGCGAAAGUGUGGGGGAGCGAACAGG
rnacentral:rRNA from 1 species